rnacentral:rRNA from 1 species
CCCUUAGAUGUUCUGGGCCGCACGCGCGCUACACUGAUGCAUUCAACGAGCCUAUCCUUGACCGACAGGUCCGGGUAAUCUUUGAAUCUGCAUCGUGACGGGGAUAGAUUAUUGCAAUUAUUAAUCUUCAACGAGGAAUGCCUAGUAGGCGCAAGUCAUCAGCUUGCGUCGAUUAAGUCCCUGCCCUUUGUACACACCGCCCGUCGCUACUACCGAUUGAACGUUUUAGUGAGGCAUUUGGACCGACGCAUCUCAGUUUAACCGCUGGUUUGUGUUGGAAAGACUUCCAAACUUGAGCGUUUAGAGGAAGUAAAAGUCGUAACA